AUUGAAACACUGUUUCUUGUAUGAUCACUGAAGUUAAGCAAUGUUGAGACUGAUCAGUACCUAGAAGAGUGACCACUUGUGAAUACCAGGUGUUGUAA